rnacentral:rRNA from 1 species
GACGAACGCUGGCGGCGUGCUUAACACAUGCAAGUCGAACGAUGAAGCCGGAGCUUGCUCUGGUGAAUUAGUGGCGAACGGGUGAGUAACACGUGAGUAACCUGCCCUUGACUCUGGGAUAACUGCUAGAAAUGGUAGCUAAUACCGGAUACGACCCUCGGAGGCAUCUCCAGGGGGUGGAAAGAAUUUCGGUCAAGGAUGGACUCGCGGCCUAUCAGCGAGUUGGUGAGGUAAUGGCUCACCAAGGCGACGACGGGUAGCCGGCCUGAGAGGGUGACCGGCCACACUGGGACUGAGAAACGGCCCAGACUCCUACGGGAGGCAGCAGUCGGGAAUAUUGCACAAUGGGCGCAAGCCUGAUGCAGCAACGCCGCGUGAGGGAUGACGGCCUUCGGGUUGUAAACCUCUUUUAGUAGGGAAGAAGCGAAAGUGACGGUACCUGCAGAAAAAGCACCGGCUAACUACGUGCCAGCCGCCGCAGUAA